CAUGAAGUGCAACCGCACGAAGUGAUGUUUAAGUAAUAAAUUGAUAUUUAUUCACAUCCUGAGGCGAGUCUGACUAAAGGG
rfam:Streptococcus sp. DF1 DF1_Contig2, whole genome shotgun sequence.